CGUGUAGGCGGCCCGGUAAGUCUGCUGUAAAAACCCGGGGCUCAACCCCGGGCGUGCAGUGGAAACUGCCGGGCUAGAGGGCGGCAGAGGCGAGUGGAAUUCCCGGUGUAGCGGUGAAAUGCGCAGAUAUCGGGAGGAACACCAGUAGCGAAGGCGGCUCGCUGGGCCGUCCCUGACGCUGAGACGCGAAAGCUAGGGGAGCGAACA
rnacentral:rRNA from 1 species